AUUGAACGCUGGCGGCAGGCUUAACACAUGCAAGUCGAGCGGAGCGAGGGUGCUUGCACCUUAGCUUAGCGGCGGACGGGUGAGUAAUGCUUAGGAAUCUGCCUAUUAGUGGGGGACAACAUUCCGAAAGGAAUGCUAAUACCGCAUACGCCCUACGGGGGAAAGCAGGGGAUCUUCGGACCUUGCGCUAAUAGAUGAGCCUAAGUCGGAUUAGCUAGUUGGUGGGGUAAAGGCCUACCAAGGCGACGAUCUGUAGCGGGUCUGAGAGGAUGAUCCGCCUCACUGGGACUGAGACACGGCCCAGACUCCUACGGGAGGCAGCAGUGGGGAAUAUUGGGCAAUGGGCGGAAGCCUGAUCCAGCCAUGCCGCGUGUGUGAAGAAGGCCUUUUGGUUGUAAAGCACUUUAAGCGAGGAGGAGGCUCUUAAGGUUAAUACCCUUGAUGAGUGGACGUUACUCGCAGAAUAAGCACCGGCUAACUCUGUGCCAGCAGCCGCUGUAAAAC
rnacentral:rRNA from 1 species